rnacentral:tRNA from 1 species
GGUUAGCUCAGUUGGUUAGAGCAUGGUGCUAAUAACACCAAGUUCACAGGUUCAGUCCCUGCUUACUG